GAACUAGGAAGCAGCACAUGGAUACUGACUAAAUGAAGCUGUACAUUUGGAAAAGAAUUGUCCCGGCCUGGCAUUGCUGCUAUUCUUCCACAGAUAGGCAAGUUCCAGGCAAAGAGGCGGGAAUGAACGUUUAGCUUCACCAAAACCAGUGGAGAAAGAGAUUGAUGGCUUUAACUCUAAGCAUCCAAAGGAAUUCUUCUCCGUCCUUGGGGUUUACUUUCUCCAAAUACCCAUGCAGGAUUACAUCCCUCCUUAGCAGAGACCUUCCAGGUUCUGAACAACUUCUGGCAGUGAGGCACUGAGCACAGCAUUGUUCCAGUUGGCAGGGAUCCAGCCAGCAUGCAGAUAACCACACGAUUUGUAAUAGAACUAAUUGAUAGAGAUACCACAGGUAUGGCUUAGUUAAGAUCAAUCAGAUGGGAUCAAUCAACAUGACAGCUCAGACUAAGAAGAUAAAGUCACAUUCACACAAACUCUAACCUGUUCCCUCAAAGGAAAACAUUUGCUGAGGAAUGUCAGCUUGGAUAUUAAAAAUGACUUGGAACAAAGAUGUCUUGUUUGAAUAAUGGGGAUGCAGAUGUCAAUUAUAGCUGGAUGAUUGUUUCAGCUCUUGUCUUUGUGAAAAGGGUGUUAACACCAGGGAUAAGGCUGGCUCAUGCUGUGGGAUUUACAGGCUGCCAGUGUAAGAAAUAUCCCCAUUGAUUGCCUAGGAGCUGGAAGUAUUUUGUACACUGUAUGUGUUGGCAGUUAUGUCAAUAACCAGGAGAAUCUAUUCUUAGGAUGACCACCAGAAAUAAUCACUAAACUCAAAGAGAACGAGGACUUUAGGGGGAAAUAUUAAACCCCCAUCCCACCCGUUUUAUGUAUUGUGAGCUGAAUUUGUAUUUCCUUUGGCUUGAUGUGAUAGAUAUACUCCUGCAAUUCUGUUGUAGUGUAGCAAUUCCUGUGUGUUAGCGAAUAAGAUAAUUGAGUACAGAUGGCCCAACAGGAAAGCCUCAAAGAGGCAGAGCGUUGCUGGUAAUCACAAAGAGUUUACAAAGGGCUAAGGCUGCUUGCUUUUGGCCUACUCUUGGCCCCACGAUCAGCAAUGGACUGAUCAUUAUUUGCUUAUAAGCCUGGAAAUCAGAGAGCAGAAAUUUGAUGUGCUUGCCUUCAAGUUGGCAUGUGUGCUUUUGGAUUAUGGGACUUAUCCAAAGCCUACUGAAGUCAACAGAAAUUCUUUCAAUGACUUUAAUGUGUUUUGGAUCAAGCCCUGUGUGACUGAAAUUAAUCAAAGAUAGCCCUACUGCUUUGAUUAUACAUCAAAGUGAACAGUAUUGAAUGAUUUUCUCCCUUCAUGCACUAAAGAGGAGAACUUUAAGGCCUAUUUCCAAAUGACAAGGCAUCCCAGUAUGAAUUUGACAAGACCACUAGACUUAUUUUCUGACAAGAAUUUUGGUGGGUUCUUCACAGACUAAGACCAAGACCACUUUUGAUCCCCAUGGACUUUCCUUAGAGAGAGCUAAAGAAAAUCCCUCCAAGGUACAGCUGACUGGACCAGUGCACUAAAAGACAGUGAAAAUAGAGUCUGUUACUCACCUUUGAAUAAACUCCAUAUUCAUGAAUAGACAUGGGAGGUUUUCAUUGAUCUCUACUGUACGAGAACUGAAAAUUGACAGUGUGGAAUGCUGAGGCUACUCUUCAGAAUUAUUUUUCAUGCUCUUUGGAAUAAGAUGUGUGAUAUUUCCUCUUGUAGAUUACUCCACGUUCCUCAUAGAAUAUUUCCUGAUGAUUAUUUGGUAUGGGCAGUUUCAUUUUGUCUUUUGUUGUUGUGUACAAAUUGACUAACAAAAAACAAGCUACAUGUGUUAGUUGCUACACUUACAGUUCAAUAUACGAAUGUGUAAGGUCUACAUUCUCGUACAUAAACUUACCCUAUAGAAUCAGCACAGUUCAGAACACCAAACAGAUUGUUCAUUCAUUAAAAUAUUCGUCUACCCCAUCCACACACCAUACUAUGAUAAAACAUAUAGAAUUCUGACAUUAUGAGCCUGAGAUUAUUUUCCUUUCCAAAUCUUUAUUAUACAUAUUAAACUAUAUAUAAAAUCAACAGUAUAUACUCCUAGCAGGUUAUUUCCAUUACAGAACAAAAAAGGGGAACAGAAUUGAGGUUGAACAUAGUCAGAGUUGAGUUAUAUUGUAAAAAAAAUAAAUAAAUCUGCAAAUAUC